CCAGUUGAUCGCAUGGUCUUCUGGGAAAGCUUUCGCGGUAUGGGAUGGGGUCGCGUCCUAUCAGCUUGACGGCGGGGUAACGGCCCACCGUGGCUUCGACGGGUAGCCGGCCUGAGAGGGCGACCGGCCACAUUGGGACUGAGAUACGGCCCAGACUCCUACGGGAGGCAGCAGUGGGGAAUAUUGCACAAUGGGCGCAAGCCUGAUGCAGCGACGCCGCGUGAGGGAUGGAGGCCUUCGGGUUGUAAACCUCUUUUAUCGGGGAGCAAGCGAGAGUGAGUUUACCCGUUGAAUAAGCACCGGCUAACUACGUGCCAGCAGCCGCGGUAAUACGUAGGGUGCAAGCGUUAUCCGGAAUUAUUGGGCGUAAAGGGCUCGUAGGCGGUUCGUCGCGUCCGGUGUGAAAGUCCAUCGCUUAACGGUGGAUCCGCGCCGGGUACGGGCGGG
rnacentral:rRNA from 1 species